rnacentral:rRNA from 1 species
CUGGUUGAUCCUGCCAGAGGUCACUGCUAUCGGGGUUCGAUUAAGCCAUGCGAGUCGAGAGGGUUCAGACCCUCGGCGGACUGCUCAGUAACACGUGGAUAACCUGGCCUAAGGUGGAGGAUAACCCCGGGAAACUGGGGAUAAUACUCCAUAGAUUAGAGAUACCGGAAUGUUCUUUAAUCGAAAGUUCCGGCGCCUUAGGGUGGAUCUGCGGCCGAUUAGGUAGUUGUUGGGGUAACGGCCCAACAAGCCCGUAAUCGGUACGGGUUGUGGGAGCAAGAGCCCGGAGAUGGAAUCUGAGACACGAUUCCAGGCCCUACGGGGCGCAGCAGGCGCGAAAACUUUACAAUGCAGGAAACUGUGAUAAGGGAACCCCGAGUGCCCGUAUACGCGGGCUGUCCAGGUGUUUAAAAUGCAUCUGAAGAAAGGGCCGGGCAAGACCGGUGCCAGCCGCCGCGGUAAUACCGGCGGCUCGAGUGGUGGCCACUUUUAUUGGGCUUAAAGCGUUCGUAGCUGGAUUUUUAAGUCUCUUGGGAAAUCUGCAGGCUUAACCUGCAGGCGUUUAAGAGAUACUGGGAAUCUAGGAACCGGGAGAGGUAAGAGGUACUCCAGGGGUAGAAGUGAAAUUCUGUAAUCCUUGGGGGACCACCGAUGGCGAAGGCAUCUUACCAGAACGGCUUCGACAGUGAGGAACGAAAGCUGGGGGAGCGAACCGGAUUAGAUACCCGGGUAGUCCCAGCCGUAAACGAUGCGCGUUAGGUGUACCGGUGACCACGAGUCACUGGGGUGCCGAAGGGAAACCGUGAAACGUGCCGCCUGGGAAGUACGGUCGCAAGGCUGAAACUUAAAGGAAUUGGCGGGGGAGCACCAC